GGGAAAGUAGCUUGCUACUUUUGCCGGCGAGCGGCGGACGGGUGAGUAAUGCCUGGGGAUCUGCCCAGUCGAGGGGGAUAACUACUGGAAACGGUAGCUAAUACCGCAUACGCCCUACGGGGGAAAGCAGGGGACCUUCGGGCCUUGCGCGAUUGGAUGAACCCAGGUGGGAUUAGCUAGUUGGUGGGGUAAUGGCUCACCAAGGCGACGAUCCCUAGCUGGUCUGAGAGGAUGAUCAGCCACACUGGAACUGAGACACGGUCCAGACUCCUAC
rnacentral:rRNA from 1 species